rnacentral:ncRNA from 2 species
UGUUUGUCUCGGAUUCACGGUUCUCCUGCUGCACCAGCGUCAGGAGAUUAAAAGGGAAUACCGGUACGACCCAAGUCAAUUCCGGAGCUGUCCCCGCAACUGUAAUUCACAUAGUUAUCGCUGACUCUCUAGUAGCCACUGUUCGCCCGCCGGCGGAUGGGAAGGCGUCAGCGAUGUGAAAAGCCAGGAGACCUGCCAUCAAUCCUUACAAACU